UACGUAGGGUGCAAGCGUUGUCCGGAAUUAUUGGGCGUAAAGAGCUCGUAGGCGGUCUGUCACGUCGGCUGUGAAAACCCGAGGCUCAACCUCGGGCCUGCAGUCGAUACGGGCAGACUAGAGUUCGGUAGGGGAGACUGGAAUUCCUGGUGUAGCGGUGAAAUGCGUAGAUAUCAAGAGGAACACCUGCGGCGAAGGCGGGUUGCUGGGCCGACACUGACGCUGAGGCGCGAAAGCCAGGGGAGCGAACGGG
rnacentral:rRNA from 1 species